rnacentral:rRNA from 1 species
UACGGAGGGUGCGAGCGUUAAUCGGAAUAACUGGGCGUAAAGGGCACGCAGGCGGGCUUUUAAGUGAGAUGUGAAAUCCCCGGGCUUAACCUGGGAAUUGCAUUUCAGACUGGGAGUCUUGAGUACUGUAGGGAGGGGUGGAAUUCCACGUGUAGCGGUGAAAUGCGUAGAGAUGUGGAGGAAUACCGGAGGCGAAGGCAGCGCCUUGGGAAUGUACUGACGCUCAUGUGCGAAAGCGUGGGGAGCAAACAGG